rnacentral:rRNA from 1 species
UACGUAGGGUGCGAGCGUUAAUCGGAAUUACUGGGCGUAAAGUGUGCGCAGGCGGCCGCGCAAGUCGAGUGUGAAAUCCCCGAGCUUAACUUGGGAAUUGCGCUCGAAACUACGUGGCUGGAGUGUGGCAGAGGAAGGUGGAAUUCCACGUGUAGCGGUGAAAUGCGUAGAGAUGUGGAGGAACACCGAUGGCGAAGGCAGCCUUCUGGGGCAACACUGACGCUCAUGCACGAAAGCGUGGGGAGCAAACAGG